rnacentral:lncRNA from 1 species
GCAGCCGUCGCCAGCCUCGGCUCGACCCGGCUCGGAGGCCUGGCCGCUCUAGCCCCCGACUCGAAGGCUCCGGGGCACCAGCCCUCUCCGCUCCGGCGGGCGCCGCGGCCUAGGAGACUAGUUCCGGGAGGGCCGAGGGGACGAGCCUGGCCCGGCCCGCCUCCCGCCGUGUCGCGGCGCACGUAGGUCCCCCGACCUGACAGGUGCGCGGCCCGGGCCGGCUGGGCUCUCAGAGCCGAGAGGUGGGGCCCCGACCUGGCCGUGGGGCUGGGCCCGCUCCGUCGCCCCGACCCCGCGUGGUCCGCCAACUCCCUCCUGCGCGCGGAGAGGACGGGCAUUGUUCUCGGGGCCCCGGAGAGCGCGAGAGCGGCCUGAGCCUGGAGGCCAUCCUGCCUGAGAUUCUACCCUUAGAGCUUCAUUCUUUUGUGACUUUCACACCUUUCAGAAACUUGGAGAAAGAUCUGCCCCCAGGUGAGGUUUGGGUAACUCCUCCACUCCCAUCCCCACCUCAGAGGAGGCUUGCUCCACCUCCACUGCCCCUCAGGCCCAAGCUCCUGUCUGGGUCCUCAGCCUCUGUGGAGUUGAGGUCUGUAGCAUAUCUCAAGGGCACUGGGGAGGUGCCGCUGCCCUGCAUCCUCCCAAACCCCACAGCUCCUCUCACCCCUUUUGGUCUCCCUUUUGCCCCCCACCUCCA